UACGGAGGAUGCAAGCGUUAUCCGGAAUGAUUGGGCGUAAAGCGCACGUAGGCGGCUUUGCAAGUCCCAUGUGAAAUCCCACGGCUUAACCGUGGAAGUGCAUGGGAAACUGCAGAGCUUGAGUACUUAAGAGGAUCGCGGAAUUCCCGGUGUAGAGGUGAAAUUCGUAGAUAUCGGGAGGAACACCAGUGGCGAAGGCGGCGAUCUGGGAAGAUACUGACGCUGAGGUGCGAAAGCGUGGGGAGCAAACAGG
rnacentral:rRNA from 1 species